CUUCGGCCCGAGUUGUAAUUUGCAGAGGAUGUUUAUGGUGCGGUACCUUCCGAGUUCCCUGGAACGGGACGCCACAGAGGGUGAGAGCCCCGUCUGGUUGGAUACCAAACCUGUGUUAAACUCCUUCAACGAGUCGAGUAGUUUGGGAAUGCUGCUCUAAAUGGGAGGUAAAUCUCUUCUAAAGCUAAAUAUUGGCCAGAGACCGAUAGCGCACAAGUAGAGUGAUCGAAAGAUGAAAAGCACCUUGAAAAGGGGGUUAAACAGUACGUGAAAUUGUUAAAAGGGAAGCGUUUAUGACCAGACUUGUGUCGUGUGGCUCAUCCGAGGUUCUCCCCGGUGCACUCCACACGGCUCAGGCCAACAUCGGUUCUCGUUGGGGGAUAAGAACAGCAGGAACGUGGCCCUCUUCGGAGGGUGUUAUAGCCUGCUGUACGAUACCC
rnacentral:rRNA from 1 species